GAUGACAAGGUCCAUCGUAAUUGAUAGCUGAUUUAUUUAUCUUUAGUCCAUAAUAUAUAUGUAGGAUCAGCAAUUCUUCAGAUGAGUUUGUGCAGACUGACAGGGAUUACUUCCAUUUCUUGAACUUGCCCCCACCAUGCUUGCCAAAUUUGCCCUUAUGCUUCCCAAAUUUCCCCUGCUUGAACUUGCCAUGCUUGCCGCCGCCGUGUGAUGAAAAGUGAGCACCGUGGCCAACAUUGUGAGCACCAUGACCCCCAUAACCACCACCAUAACCGCCAGGAAUG
rnacentral:lncRNA from 1 species